rnacentral:rRNA from 1 species
AUUGAACGCUGGCGGCAGGCCUAACACAUGCAAGUCGAGCGGAUGAAGGGAGCUUGCUCCUGGAUUCAGCGGCGGACGGGUGAGUAAUGCCUAGGAAUCUGCCUGGUAGUGGGGGAUAACGUCCGGAAACGGGCGCUAAUACCGCAUACGUCCUGAGGGAGAAAGUGGGGGAUCUUCGGACCUCUCGCUAUCAGAUGAGCCUAGGUCGGAUUAGCUAGUUGGUGGGGUAAAGGCCUACCAAGGCGACGAUCCGUAACUGGUCUGAGAGGAUGAUCAGUCACACUGGAGCUGAGACACGGUCCAGACUCCUACGGGAGGCAGCAGUGGGGAAUAUUGGACAAUGGGCGAAAGCCUGAUCCAGCCAUGCCGCGUGUGUGAAGAAGGUCUUCGGAUUGUAAAGCACUUUAAGUUGGGAGGAAGGGCAGUAAGUUAAUACCUUGCUGUUUUGACGUUACCAACAGAAUAAGCACCGGCUAACUUCGUG